rnacentral:rRNA from 1 species
CGCGCAGGUGGUUGAUUAAGUCUGAUGUGAAAGCCCACGGCUUAACCGUGGAGGGUCAUUGGAAACUGGUCGACUUGAGUGCAGAAGAGGGAAGUGGAAUUCCAUGUGUAGCGGUGAAAUGCGUAGAGAUCUGGAGGAAUACCGAUGGCGAAGGCAGCCCCCUGGGACAAUACUGACGCUCAUGCACGAAAGCGUGGGGAGCAAACAGGAUUAGAUACCCGUGUA